ACGACUUAUCUCUAUGAUCUAAACAGUUCAUGUUGUAGAUAUUUUCAAGAAGAUAAACUACAUUGAAGAUCUUAUCAACAUAAUUCUAACUGAUACAUAAUCAAAGAGGAUGAAAGUGAAUUUGUUUUUAUGAAAAUAGGUCUCGCCAUACUGGAUCUAACCCAAUUUAUUUUUUGGAAAGCCUUUUAGGAACUGCAAAGUGAAUUCAUCAAAUUUUGAUCUCAUUUCGAUUUAACUCCAUGAUCGAAAUCGUUCAAGCAGUAGAUACUAUCGAGAAGAUAAGCAGUGUCAAAGAUCUUUUGAAUUGAAUGUUUAUUGGUACACAAUCGGAGAUGAUCAAAUCGAAUAUGUUUUUGUGAAAAUAGAUUUGGAUACACUGUAUCAAACCGUUCUGUCAAAGAGUAUAUUCAUUCCGGCGAAGGGCCGUCGCCGAUGGAGAGGUUUUUGGUCCCCGACGGAGAGGUUGUUCAGCAGAAAAGGAUUCUCACUCCGUUGUAAAAGGGCGCAGCAGCUACGUGGCGAUGAGUGGCAAAUAAUUUGGAGAUUGUAACUUAGCAGAAGCGAGCUUGCAAUCAAAUGAUAUGGAACUGGCAAAGAAGUUGUGGGACUUAGCUAGAGAUUGAGUAACCAAAGUGCACAUGCUUCGUAGACUACAGGUUUCUUGAAGUCCAACGGGGGAUAUGGCGGAUGAAGGAGAUGAUAGUGAAUUAGUGAUGGAUGGGAUGAGGCUCCUCCUGCAACAGUAGGUAAUAGAAGCAAAAGAUGCAGGGUUAAUGAGUCAAACAUUAAAGAGGAUGCUUUGGGAAAGGAGGAUAAAGAUGAUAUAGACUAGGACGAGGCCAACUUUCGUUGCAUUGCUAAACUAAUAAAGAUGAACUUUGCAAAAGUGCUUAUUUGGUUGGGAAAGAGAGGACUUUACUUUUUCGAGGAGAAAUCUUUCAUAAAAGAAAAAGAACGAACUAAAUUAUUACUCUUAGCAUACUCUUUUAUGAAACUAUUUAUGAGGCAGCGGAAUGGAUGAGCAAAAGGUACAACCAUGAAUGUUACUAAAACAUUCUUUGUUUCUCUUUUAUGUACACAAUUUCUUGAUAUAUCCUUCCCAAAUCGUACUACAUUAAAGCUUAUCCGACAUACUACAUUAAAGCUAGAUCUUGAAGGAAAUAUCAAAUAUAUCAACAUAAGACUCUAGCUGAUCAACUGGCUAUUACAAAAAGAAAAAAGAAACAAAAUUAAGCAAAGGAAAGGAUUCAUCUUUCCUUUUCUGACAUCUAGAUGAAAAUAUGCCAACAAAAUUAAUUCAGCUACUUGUUUUGGCAAGGAUUUGAACCAGUUGGUGGUAUCUGCUUCUUGCUUGCACCCACAGCUUUCUUGGUCUCUCUUCCUUCUCCUCCAGUAUUCAACUCGUUUUGAUUCUCAGAAAUUGGACUCCCAGAGGAAAACAGUUUCCUUGAUACCUGCCUUCUUUCUCUAGGAUUAAUCUCCUUUUCAUAGGGGAGAUGAAGUGAAGACGCCAUGAAGAUGUGGAAUAUUAGUAUCAAGGCACACAGAGUUGCCAAAGCUCUCCACUUGGACUUCAUAAGGGUAACUCACAGAGAGAUCGAGAGAGAGAGAGAGAACCAACCAUAAAUGUUGGAAUCAAAUGAUGGAAGAGAGGAAGAGCUUGGAUCAAGGUUAUAUACAUAUAUGGGCAGAAGCAUGUUUGCUUGGUUGUUAGUACACAUGGUUCUGUCACAACCUUAUGAUAAAAUAUGUUUAAAAAAAGCAAUAAUACUUAAUAAGAACUUGGCUACUGUCUGGGA